GCCCUUAUGGCGCAGUGGUAGCGCGUGUCACUCGUAAUGACAAGGUCGAUAGUUCAAUCCUGUCUGGGGGCA